CAUCCUCCAAGGCUAAAUACUCCUGACUGACCGAUAGUGAACCAGUACCGUGAGGGAAAGGCGAAAAGAACCCCGGCGAGGGGAGUGAAAAAGAACCUGAAACCGUGUACGUACAAGCAGUGGGAGCACAGGUUUACCUGUGUGACUGCGUACCUUUUGUAUAAUGGGUCAGCGACUUAUAUUCUGUAGCAAGGUUAACCGAAUAGGGGAGCCGGAGGGAAACCGAGUCUUAACCGGGCGUUAAGUUGCAGGGUAUAGACCCGAAACC
rnacentral:rRNA from 3 species